GUGAACUCCAGGUCGAGUCUGGCUGAAAGGAAAGGAAGUCAUAACUCUCCCCGUUUCCCCCCCUUUUAUGAAAUUUAUUGGGGGUGACAACUGGCUGAUUGGAUGCAAGGUGAACGCAACUUCUCUGCCCGCGGCAGCUGUGCUCGUGGCACACUUCCGCCACCUGGUGACCACACACUGAAAUGGCAAGGCCUGCCUGCUUCGAGAAGCCAGGGGAAAAUCCUUUGGGUAAAUGAGGAAAACUACUUCAGUGAACUGACCAGCAAACAAUGGCCAUUUUUUAACUAGAAAUAGUAAAUUGAUAAGUCUAGAUCAACCUAGAGUGACCACUCUUCUCUGGAUUGUUGUACAUUUUUCUGGUGUGUUUUAUCACCAAUCCCUGGUGGACAGUGAACUGAUCUUGAUUUGACAAUGGAUGUUGGAUAAGACUCAAAUGACCACUUGACGGCAGGAGCUAGAAGCGUUUUUUCUUCAUGGGUCCCGGCCUCCCAAGAAGAAUUGGAUUUGUCUCCACUGGUGUGAUCUGAAAAGCCAAGGAGGUCUGUCCUCUGAAGUGUCCAAAACCACAAAAUUCCUGCAUGAGUAACUAAUCCUGUUUCCUUUACUGAAUGCUCUCUUUGAAGAGACAUAAAUUGUUUUGAUGCCAGAGGCGUCCCAAGAAGGCUCUUGGCUCUGCCCAGGAAAGAAUUCAAGAAGCAAGCCAGGCCAAAGGUUAAAGCGGAAAAGCAGGUCUUAUUGAGCAGAGACCACAAGCAAGAAGAGCCACUCCAUAGACAAAGGCGGACUCUCCCGGAGAGAGAAGGAAGACGUUGAGCUUCUAUCUGUUUGUGGUUUCUAUGGGAAGUUGCUGGUAUAGGGAAACAGAGAGUGAAAAAGGGCUGGGACCCACUUUAACCUU